AUUGAACGCUGGCGGCAGGCCUAACACAUGCAAGUCGAACGAGUGGCGGACGGGUGAGUAAUGUCUGGGAAACUGCCCGUUGGAGGGGGAUAACUACUGGAAACGGUAGCUAAUACCGCAUACCAUCGGAUGUGCCCAGAUGGGAUUAGCUUGUAGGUGAGGGAACGGCUCACCUAGGCGACGAUCCCUAGCUGGUCUGAGAGGAUGACCAGCCCAACUGGAACUGAGACACGGUCCAUACUCUUACGGGAGGCAGCAGUGGGGAAUAGUGGAAACUUGGCGCAAGGCUGAUGCGGCCAUGCCGCGUGUAUGAAGAAGGCCUUCGGGUUGUAAAGUACUUUCAGCGGCGAGGCCUUACCCGCAGCAGAAGCACCGGCUAACUCCGUGCUAGCGGCCGCGGUAAUAC
rnacentral:rRNA from 1 species